UCCCAGUUGGUCAGAAAUUUACAUACACUCAAUUAGUAUUUGGUAGCAUUGCCUUUAAAUUGCAUAACUUGUGUGAAAUGUUUCGGGUUGCCUUCCACAAGCUUCCCACAAUAAGUUGGGUGAAUUUUGGGCCAUUCCUACUGACAGAGCUGGUGUAACUGAGUCAGGUUUGUAGGCCUCCUUGCUUGCACAUGCUUUUUCAGUUCUGCCCAUACAUUUUCGAUAGGAUUGAGGUCAGGGUUUUGUGACGGCCACUCCAAUACCUUGACUUUGUUGUCCUUAAGCCAUUUUGCCACAACAUUGGAAGUAUGCUUGGGGUCAUUGUCCAUUUGGAAGACCCAUUUGCGACCAAGCUUUACUUCCUGACUGAUGUCUUGAGAUGUUGCUUCAUGAUGCCAUCUAUUUUGUGAUGUGCAGCAGUCCCUCCUGCAGCAAAGUACCCCCACAACAUGAUGCUGCCACCACCCUGCUUCAUGGUUGGGAUGGUGUUCUUCAGCUUGCAAGCAUCCCCCUUUUUCCUCCAAACAUAACGAUGGUCAUUAUGGCCAAACAUUUCUGUUUUUGUUUCAUCAGACCAGAGAACAUUUCUCCAAAAAGUACAAUCUUUGUCCCCAUGUGCAGUUGCAAACUGUAGUCUGGUUUUUUUAUGGCGGUUUUGGAGCAGUGGCUUCUUCCUUGCUGAGUGGCCUUUCAGGUUAUGUCAAUAUAGGACUUGUUUUACUGUGGAUAUAGAUACUUUUAUACCUGUUUCCUCCAGCAUCUUUACAAGGUCCUUUGCUGUUGUUCUGGGAUUAUUUUGCACUUUUCGCACCAAAGUACGUUCAUCUCUAGGAGAGAGAACGCGUCGCCUUCCUGAGCGGUAUGACGGCUGCGUGGUCCCAUGGUGUUUAUUCUUGCAUACUAUUGUUUGUACAGAUGAAUGUGGUAACCUCAGGCGUUUGGAAAUUGCUCCCAAGUAUGAACCAGACUUGUGGAGGUCUACAAUUUUAUUCUCUGAGGUCUUGGCUGAUUUCUUUUGAUUUUCCCAUGAUGUCAAGCAAAGAGGCACUGAGUUUGAAAGUAUGCCUUGAAAUACAUCCACAGGUACACCUCCAAUUGACUCAAAUGAUGUCAAUUAGCCUAUCAGAAGGUUCUAAAGCCAUGACAUCAUUUUCUUGAAUUUUCUAAGCUGUUCAAAGGCACAGUCAAUUUAGUGUAUGUAAACUUCUGACCCACUGGAAUUGUGAUGAAGUGAAUUAUAAGUGAAAUAAUCUGUCUGUAAACAACUGUUGUAAAAAUUACUUGUGUCAUGCACAAAGUAGAUGUCCUAACGGGGCCCCGUUUCGGCAGCAAAGGGUUCAGGCCAAUUGGCAAAUAGGUAUUGAAGCCCAGCGAUUAUCUGAUGGAUUUCUUCAGCUAGCUGGAAGAUGGGCCUAGUUCGAGGCUAACUCCAGGCUAACUGGUGCUUGCUUCGGGACAGAAACCCCCUCGGACGGUUACGUCGGUAGACCAGUCGUGAUAGAUUGGCGGGGUUCCGUGUCGACAGAAAAGGGUCCAGGCCAACUGGAAAAAGAGGCAAUUGAAGCCCAGGAAUUGCUUGAUAGAUCUCUUCGGCUAGCCGGGAGAAUGGGCCUAGCUCGAGGCUAGCUCCAGGCUAACUGGUGCUUGCUUCGGGACAGAGACGUUAGCCAGGAGUAGCCACUCGGAUAGCAGCUAGCUAACUGCGAUGAUCCAGAGUAAAGGUUUAGAGCUUGCGACAGGAAUCGGGAGAUAUGGUGGAGAAAAGCAAUCCGAUAUGCUCUGGGUUGAUAUAAUGCAGAAACCUCAAUGAUCUAACCCUCUACAUGGCUCUUCAACAGGAACAUGUUGGUAACAAUCAAAAUAGUUCUAGAACACGUUAAACGGUGAGUCAUGAUUUAUUAAUAGGCGGUUAUGAUUCAACAUAAAAACCACGUUUCAUGAUAUUCUCCGAGGGACCAUCCAUUGAUGGCUGGUCUGUGGCAUCAGGUCAAUCUUUGAAAGUAGCAGCCAUGAACAUCAGAAAGACAAACAUAAAAUCUCAGACAAAACAGAAAAUGUAUAAUACUGUAUAACAACAACAGAAUAGCUGGUGUCAUGAAUGGUGGUAAUGCUUCAAACCAAAAAGUAUAUCCACAGGAAUGCUGCAGGUCUUCGAACCUCUGGGCUGUCUGCCCAUAAGUAGACAUUAAAGAGAAAACAACAUUUCAGAGAGGCCUAACAGGUGAGGCCUAACAGAGAGGCCUAACAGGCCUAGCAACAGACAUCUAUGUACCAGUGGUGCUGGUCCAAGUCGAGGUGUCAUAAAAUAAAUGUAUCCCUCUCUCCAACGUUAAAAACCCUCCUUGUACUGUAAAAUUAUAUAAACACCAGCCUCAACAAAAAUGUACUACCAUAAAUAACAACUGUAAGAACCCUGUGUUUAUAUAUGUGGAUAUUGACUUCACCGCUUCAGCAUAGUUUUGUGGCAUAGUCAAUGCCAUGCAGGGCUAACGGGCCAGUAGGUUGAGGGUUUGCUGACCCCUACGGUCAAGCUCACUCUCCCUGCCUGCCUCAUGUACAAAUUACCUCCACUAACCUGUACCCCCGCUCACUGACUCGGCACCGGUACCCCCUGUAUAUAGCCUCGUUAUUGUUAUGUUAUUGUGUUACUUUUUAUUAUCAUUGUUAUUUUUGGUUAAGGGCUUGUAGUAAGCAUUUCACAGUAAGGUCCACACUUGUUGUAUUCGGUGCAUGUGACAAAUAAAGUUUGAUUUGAUUACACUACAAUCAGAGCCGGCUAAAGGCAAUGAUCAGCUAGGAGGAAAUGAGAUUUUCAACAUUUUGAUGCUAGUUUGCAUCCUGCAGAUCUGGAGAAACGAUCCACCUACCACUAUUGUCACUAUGGAUAGAGGACAGGAUAGAUAAUUGACUGGUAAAGAGUAGUGCAUAAGGGAGGUACCAAAACAUCUUUAUAGGGGAGGUGCAUGCAAGCAGAUGAGGAAAUGUGGCUAUAUGGAAGACAUUAUAUAGAAAAACCUGCAAAAUGUUGAACAUAAAAUUCACUAUUUUGGACAAGCACUCCAACCCCAGUAAAUUUCGAACAGUCCUAAAGCAGUUUUAAAGAGGACAUGUCUUUUUCCGAAGCACCAAAACGUGACUUUUUCCAAAUCCUCCUACAGAGUCACAUGCAGAGAAUUUGUUAGUACGUCCAACCAGUCUCACAACCGCAGACCACGUGUAACCACGCCAACCUAGGACCUCAACAGACAGCUUCUUCAUCUGCCGGAUCAUCGGGGGAGGGGGGGAUGCUGAGGAGUAUUUUGUCUGUAAUAAAGCCCUUUUGUGGGGAGAAACGUUGAAAUUGUUGUUUAUAUUUUUGUUCAGUAGAUUUGCAUACACUUCAGACAUAUAUACCCAACCAGACACGCCACAAUGGGUUUCUUCACUGUACCCAAACCAAAAACAGAUUUAAUGCGUCACUCAGUUAUAGAGCCAUGUCAUCAUGGAAUGCUCUGCCACCAGAGGUUAAUGUUUUUUAAAGCAAGUUUAGCUUUAAAAACACAGUUAAAAACAACCAAUUGUAUCAAAGCGCCUCUCCUCUUUCUAAAUCUCAUUUAACUGUACUGUAUAUAAGAAUAUGAAGUGUGUAAAUAGUACAACUUUUACUUUGAAUUUAAUGUCAUAUCUUAUGUGUGUUAUGUAUGUUUUAUGUGGACCCUCUGGAAGAGUAGCUGCUGCAUGUGGGGCGGCAGGUAGUCUAGUGGUUAGAGCGUUGGACUAGUAACCAAAAGGUUGCAAGAUUGAAUCCCCAAGCUGACAAGGUAAAAAUCUGUCAUUCUGCCCUUGAACAAGGGCAGAAUGACACUGUUCCUAGGCUGUCAUUGAAAAUAAGAAUUUGUUCUUAACUGACUUGCCUAGUGAAAUAAAAGGUUUUAAAAAAGUGCAGAAGCUUAUGGGGAUGCUAAUAAACUAAACUCUCUCUUGGUCUUCUUGGGCAUGCUCCUCCUUGGGCCUUCCAACAAACUUCUCUCUACCUCCUGCAUGGUCUUUUUUCACCCCCUUUCUUGGUCUUGGCGCCAUGUU
rnacentral:lncRNA from 1 species